rnacentral:rRNA from 1 species
UACGGGGGGGGCAAGCGUUGUUCGGAAUUACUGGGCGUAAAGGGCUCGUAGGUGGCCAACUAAGUCAGACGUGAAAUCCCUCAGCUUAACUGGGGAACUGCGUCUGAUACUGGAUGGCUUGAGUUUGGGAGAGGGAUGCGGAAUUCCAGGUGUAGCGGUGAAAUGCGUAGAUAUCUGGAGGAACACCGGUGGCGAAGGCGGCAUCCUGGACCGAAAUUGACGCUGAGGCGCGAAAGCCAGGGGAGCAAACGGG